rnacentral:rRNA from 1 species
CCUACGGGAGGCUGCAGUCGAGAAUCAUUCACAAUGGGGGAAACCCUGAUGGUGCGACGCCGCGUGGGGGAAUGAUGGUCUUCGGAUUGUAAACCCCUGUCAUGUGGGAGCAAAUUAAAAAGAUAGUACCACAAGAGGAAGAGACGGCUAACUCUGUGCCAGCAGUCUCGGUAAUACAGAGGGCCCAGGCGUUGAUUGGAAUCACUGGGCGUAAAGCGUGCGUAGGCUGUUUCGUAAGUCGUGUGUGAAAGGCGCGGGCUCAACCCGCGGACGGCACAUGAUACUGCGAGACUAGAGUAAUGGGGGGGGAACCGGAAUUCUCGGUGUAGCAGUGAAAUGCGGAGAUAUCGAGAGGAACACUCGUGGCGAAGGCGGGUUCCUGGACAUUAACUGACGCUGAGGCACGAAGGCCAGGGGAGCGAAAGGGAUUAGAUACCCCUGUAGUC